rnacentral:rRNA from 1 species
AGCUGCAGUCGAGAAUCUUUCGCAUGGGCGAAGCCUGACGAAGCGACGCCGUGUGAGGGAUGAAGGCCUUCGGGUUGUAAAGCUCUUUCGCUUGGGAACAAGAGAGAGGGGUGAAUACCUACUUGAUUUGAUGGUACUUGGAAAAGAAGCACCGGCUAACUC